UUAUUAUUAUUAACAGAUAUUCUAGUGAUUUUCAUCUAACAUGGUGUAUUUGGAUCAACUUUAUUUUACCAUUAGUAGAUUGUCUGUCUAUGAUGCGUUGAGUGGGCGUAGGCCUGUGGUACCUACGUGUGCGUGGGUCCAGUACCUAUUGGACAGGCGUCUAUGACGUCGGGGCCUUAGGUGUGAAUGUCUACCGAGGGACUGCUAUCAGGCAUAAAUAUACGGGGCCCCGUGAUACGGGAGCGUACGACCUCCGACCCUGACGUUAGACACGCUAUUCUAAGUUAGUAAACGCGUCGUAGCAGUUGGAAGAAAAAAAAAAAAACAGCGAUCCGUCCUGCACAACUAUGCCGACUGACUGUAAGUAUUCAUAUGAGUGUAUCAUGAUUAUAUUAUGACUAUGUCUAUGUGAAUCAGCUGUUUAUAUCUGACCGUAGCUGCGAUUACUUCACAGCGAAUUGCGGUGCCGGAGGCGAGAGCGUGAAACAGCAGCAGGGUCCACGUGGAAAUUUGCCUGAUAUUCGGCUCAACAUUCAAAGACCGAUUCUAGCAGACCAGACUAAUGUGCUGACAAGCGGUAGUUUUGUACCUAUCGAGGCCAAUGUCAUUCAGCGAACCCCCGGACCAAAUCGACUGUCCAAGAAGAAUUUGAAAAGAUCGGCGGGGGUAGUGGUGGCUAUACCCUGUUCACCACUGGCCAUAGAACAGCUACAAAUUCCUUAUAAAAAGGUAGGAAAUUCAAU